AUUGAACGCUGGCGGCAUGCUUUACACAUGCAAGUCGAACGGCAGCACGGGCUUCGGCCUGGUGGCGAGUGGCGAACGGGUGAGUAAUAUAUCGGAACGUACCCAGAAGUGGGGGAUAACGUAGCGAAAGUUACGCUAAUACCGCAUACGAUCUAUGGAUGAAAGCAGGGGACCGCAAGGCCUUGUGCUCCUGGAGCGGCCGAUAUCUGAUUAGCUAGUUGGUGAGGUAAAGGCUCACCAAGGCGACGAUCAGUAGCUGGUCUGAGGGGACGACCAGCCACACUGGAACUGAGACACGGUCCAGACUCCUACGGGAGGCAGCAGUGGGGAAUUUUGGACAAUGGGCGCAAGCCUGAUCCAGCAAUGCCGCGUGAGUGAAGAAGGCCUUCGGGUUGUAAAGCUCUUUUGUCAGGGAAGAAACGGUAGAGGCUAAUAUCCUUUGCUAAUGACGGUACCUGAAGAAUAAGCACCGGCUAACUACGUG
rnacentral:rRNA from 1 species